rnacentral:rRNA from 1 species
AUUUGUGGCCAAACUUCCUUGUCAAAGCCUGAUCUCGUCAGAUUUGUUAAGCUAAGCGAGAAUGAGACUGGUUAGUACAUGGAUGGGAGCCUGCUAGGAAUACCAGGUGCCACGGUGG